rnacentral:lncRNA from 1 species
CUACAGGGUGUAUAAAAAAAAGGAGACCUUUAGAAAUCAACCAUAUUGUUAAAAUUUGAAUGCCUUUUCAAUUGCACAUAUGCCGAACCGUAGUGCGUGAAAUAUUGAUUGGGGGCAUAUAUUAGGAAAAGGAGACCUUUAGAAUUUGAAAUAACGUUUAAACAAAAGUUUGUCUGCUCCUGGGAACAAUCUGCCAUGCAUACUGUACGUAGAUCGCAUGUUACGCACUCGCGGGCUUAGCAAAGUG